AGCAGCCGCGGUAAUUCCAGCUCCAAUAGCGUAUAUUAAAGUUGUUGCAGUUAAAAAGCUCGUAGUUGAAUUUCGAGACCGGUUUAUUGGUCGUGCUUUUGUACGUACUGGUAUUAUUGGUUUCUCCUUUCUGACGAAUCAUAAUGCCAUUAAUUUGGUGUUUUGGGGAAUCAGGACUGUUACUUUGAAAAAAUUAGAGUGUUUAAAGCAGGCUCACGCUUGAAUACAUUAGCAUGGAAUAACGAAAUAAGACGUUUGAUUUUAUUUUGUUGGUUUCUAGGAUCGACGUAAUGAUUAAUAGGGAUAGUUGGGGGCAUUAGUAUUCAAUUGUCAGAGGUGAAAUUCUUGGAUUUAUUGAAGACUAACUACUGCGAAAGCAUUUGCCAAGGAUGUUUUCAUUAAUCAAGAACGAAAGUUAGGGGAUCGAAGACGAUCAGAUACCGUCGUAGUCUUAACCAUAAACUAUGCCGACUAGGGAUCGGAUGAUGUUAAUUUUUAAUGACUCAUUCGGCGCCUUACG
rnacentral:rRNA from 1 species